rnacentral:rRNA from 1 species
GUGUACCCGCGGCAAGACGGAAAGACCCCGUGAACCUUUACUAUAGCUUGACACUGAACAUUGAGCCUUGAUGUGUAGGAUAGGUGGGAGGCUUUGAAGUGUGGACGCCAGUCUGCAUGGAGCCGACCUUGAAAUACCACCCUUUAAUGUUUGAUGUUCUAACGUGGACCCGUUACCCGGGUUGCGGACAGUGUCUGGUGGGUAGUUUGACUGGGGCGGUCUCCUCCUAAAGAGUAACGGAGGAGCACGAAGGUUGGCUAAUCCUGGUCGGACAUCAGGAGGUUAGUGCAAUGGCAUAAGCCAGCUUGACUGCGAGCGUGACGGCGCGAGCAGGUGCGAAAGCAGGUCAUAGUGAUCCGGUGGUUCUGAAUGGAAGGGCCAUCGCUCAACGGAUAAAAGGUACUCCGGGGAUAACAGGCUGAUACCGCCCAAGAGUUCAUAUCGACGGCGGUGUUUGGCACCUCGAUGUCGGCUCAUCACAUCCUGGGGCUGAAGUAGGUCCCAAGGGUAUGGCUGUUCGCCAUUUAAAGUGGUACGCGAGCUGGGUUUAGAACGUCGUGAGACAGUUCGGUCCCUAUCUGCCGUGGGCGCUGGAGAACUGAGGGGGGCUGCUCCUAGUACGAGAGGACCGGAGUGGACGCAUCACUGGUGUUCGGGUUGUCAUGCCAAUGGCACUGCCCGGUAGCUAAAUGCGGAAGAGAUAAGUGCUGAAAGCAUCUAAGCACGAAACUUGCCCCGAG